UUAAAAAAAAAAAAAAAAAAAAAAGCAGCGACACAAGUUUUGCCUUUUGAAAACCUCGGAGGAAACCCUCUCCGCAACAUAUCAGAGCUCCGGCAAACUUCCUCCCAGGCAGCUCUUUAUUCCCAACAACCUUCGGCUGCCUCCCGCCCGCUGCGCGCUGCCGGAGCUUUUCCCAGCCCCCUUGCCCAGCUCCAGGGGCUUUUCCUGGCGGGGGGAGGCCGCAGCCCGGCCGGCCGCGGACCCCCCUCGCUCCCUCCCCGGCCGCCCGCGGGUGCGGGAGCUGCGCGGCCGCGCUCCGCCCGCCGCCGCCCCGUUGCAUAAGGCGGCCCCGCUCCGCCCCUGGAGGUGCGCGUAGGGCUCCGCGGGGACAGCGGCUGCUCGGCCGCUCGUCCCUGGUCUUUUUUUUCUUUUCUUUUUUUUUUUUUUUUUUUUUUUUUUUCUCCAAGCGGGCCGGCGGCUCCUUGCCAUGAGCAGCCCGAAGGCAGCAUGAAAGCGGGCAGGCGCGGCUAUCCCGCCCGCUCCGGUGUAGGAUGGCUCUUGGCGAAGUGUUGCUGCUGCUGCUCCUGCAAAGGGGCUGUCAGAGCCUGAAUAAUUUAAGAGUGAACAAAUGAGAGACGUUCAUGGAGGACUCAGUUCUUACCUAGGCACAAUUUGACAAGCAUGUAGAUUGCCUUGGGUUUCCACUGCACCUACCACAACUUUACUAAGAGAAAAGCCCCCUUUCCUAGACAUCUGUGUCACUCUUGCUUAGUAAAGUUAUUCAAGAUCAGCGCCUUUGGAAUUGGUUGGUAAAUGGACAAAGACUUUCUCUUUGCCCGGAGCUCCUGACAGCCUCCAAGUACCAAAGAGAACUCCACACCACUAGAAAGCAAGAGACAGCUGCUGAAUGUUGGAAGCUACUGCAUUUGGCAAAAGAAGCUGACGCUAAGAUGCACACAGUUGUGUUUGUUUGUUCUGCUUGUUUUCUGUGCUUUCUGAGCCCUGUGUGUGCCUGGAAAGUUUAAUGACCAAUGCCUUCUUUAUCAACAUGCAGUUUUUCUUCCUAUCCCAAAAAGCUUUGGGUUCUGUUCUUGCUUUCCCCGCUCCCCCCAAUUCCAAUUUAUUUUGUCACUGAUACUCCUCUGUUGUUUCCAUUAGGAAUUGUUUGGGAACACACAAUUUCCUUUGAGGUAGGGAGAUAUAAAUAGGACAUUCAAAUGUCCUCCUCUCUCCCCAGAAAUCCAGCAGUGAUCCACCUUGUCAUACAGGCUGCUGGCUUCCAGCGUAAGGCAGAGCUGACCUUAGCAAUGAUGUCAUUUGACUGAGAAAUUACUUCGUUAAAUGUGGAAAAGUUCUUACAGUAGCUCAAUUUGAAAGCUGCUGAAUGAAGCUGACCCCUGACACUUUGCAAAAGAAUAAGGCUUGUGUUGUAUUAACAGCUGCUUGGAAACCAUGUGUAAUAAAUUUUGUUUUUGUGCCCACCACUAGGAUAAAAGAUGGCAUUCGCCGACUCUGGUACCCUUAAUACUCUCAGCAGAGUGACACUGCUUAGAUCAAAGUUUAAAAGUCUGCUUCUAUGUGGGUGUCUACGCAUUUCACAGUUCCUUAUGCUAAAAGUAACAGUGUACUUGCAAAGGCCAGCAAAUGCUGCUCUUCUUGUUCAGCUUCAAUCACGACAUUUUUCCCCUUAUCAUCCCGUAUAGGUUUCUGUAAAGGUUCAGGGUUAAAACUUACUUUUUUAAAGAACGUGCAUAAGUCUCCUGUCAAAAUAUAUCAAGGAGGUUUUUGCUUUGUGUUUGGAGUUCUGUUCUUUUCGCUGCUAGUGACACUUACUCUGGAAACUUCAGGGUUUGGGAUUACAUUAUUUUUGUCACAGAAAGAGGACAGUGUAAAUACAAAAUGUAAAGUAGAAGAACUUAGAGAAGUGCUUCAACAAGUUGUUUGACUAAAUUGAAAUAAAUGUUGAUUUGUUCAAAAAAAAAAAAUCAUGCCCUUUCUG